rnacentral:lncRNA from 1 species
CUGAGAGAAACUCUGGAGGUGUCUGGCCUUUUGAGAGCAAGGAGGAGGUUUGGAAUCAAGUGUGCAGAAGCUCUGCUUGUCCUGGACGCUCUUAAAGGCUCCAGGAGAACACUUUGGGUGCUGCUUUAUAUGAAUAAAACCAGCAUGGCUAAAAAAAACAUAUUCAAAAAGUAGAAUCCAAGGAUGAUGGUGCACAUCACUGCACAUCUUGCACGUCAGGAAGAAUCCCACGUUCCUGGACCCCCAUCCCCGGUGUAGCUGACUUGGAAAGCUGAAGAAGACCACGAAGCUAGAUUUAUAGGAUGUUACAGAGCCAGCAGGUACUUUAAUAAUCUAGGCUAGGGCCCAGUGCAGUGGCUCCUGCCUGUAAUCCCAGCACUUUUAGGGGCCAAGGCGGGAGGAUUGCUUGAGCCCAGGAAUUCAAGACCAGCCUGGACAACAUAGCGAGCCUCUGUCUCUACAAAAAGUAAAAAAUUAGCAGGGCAUGGUGGUGCAGGCCUGUAGUUACAGUACUCAGGAAGCUGAGGCAGGAGGAUCGCUUGAGCUCAGGAGAUCAAGUCUGCAGUGUGCACUCCAGCCUGGGCGACAGAGCGAGACCCUAUCUCCAACAAACAAACACAAAAAAUCCGGCCAGGUUCCUGUCUAACAAAGAAGAAGCAAGGCUCCCACUUAGGCCUUCAGUUUGACUUCUCUGGGCAUCUGAAGAAUUAGUAGCAACCUCACAGAUUUACUGUGAAGAUUAAUUGCAAUGACGUAUAUAAAGCCCUCGGCACUUUGCACUCAAGCUGAUGAAGCUGAGCUCCAGACAAGUGAGGGCUUGCUCUGGAUCACACGACGGCCUCCUGUUCGGGAAUCCUGUAUCAUGCCUACACAGUAGGGAAACUGCUGUGCUUUUAGCCUAGAAACUCCGCUGCGAGUUAUUUACGCAGCAGCAGAUGGGAGUUCCUGCACACUAGACCAAGUGCUUGGUUGGAUCUUUUCAGAGACCACCGGCGCCAUCACGGUGGGCCCCCGAACUUUUGUAAAUGAAUGAAAAUACUACAUAGAAUUACAUACAAAGGCAAGUCUGGAUUUGAAAUUAAUGACCGCGGGAUUCAGAAAUGAUUUUGAGAUAAAAUGAAUAGUUCAAGAAAAUUUGCGUUGCAGUAGACAACACUGCUUAGGAAAACUCCUCCUCUGUAGAAUUUCAGAGACAAAGAUCAUGACUGUUAUUUUAAUUCAUAGCCUCAGGGUGUUUGGAGAGAGGAGGAAGAGUGAGAGUUCUGAAGCUCUUUUUUUUUUUUUCUUUUUGAGACAGAGUCUCGCUCUGUCACCCAGGCUGGAGUGCAGUGGUGUGAUCUCAGCUCAUUGCAAACUCUGCCUCCCAGGUUCAAGCGAUUCUCCUGCCUCAGCCUCCUAAGUAGCUGGGACUACAGGUAUAUGCCACCAUACCCAGCUAAUUUUUGUAUUUUUAGUGGAGACAGGGUUUCACCAUGUUGGCCAGGAUGGUCUUGAUCUCCUGACCUCGUGAUCUGCCUGCCUUGGCCUCCCAAAGUGCUGGGAUUACAGGCUUGAGCCACAGCUGUGCGGAAAUAGGACUGUUUUCUCUUUCUGAAAUAGAAUAGCUUUUAAAUAUAUAGCAAUGUCUAGCAUUGGUCAAGCGUUUGGUAUGUAUUUUACUUAUUUGUUUAAUCUUCACAACAACCUUAGGAGAUAGGUGCUAGAAUUAUCCCAUUUACAGAUAAGAACACUGAGACCAAAGAGUAGCUUAUUCAUGGUCAAAUAGCUAGUAAACAGCAGCAUUGGGACCAAAUCUCUGAUUCUGGCUUCAGAGCCAUUCUCUACCCUUUUGAGAGAGUCCAGGUACCAAACCUAUGAGACUAAGAACUAUUAAACAUUCCCUGUGCACGUGUGCAUUUCAUCACAUUACUAUGCCAAGGUUAAGUGUAUGCAGCUGAAUCCUCUUGGUGCUUAACACCCUAGUCUACCCCUACCAUACUGUUGGUCUGGAAAUUCUGCAGAAACAUGGGUGGGAUCUUUUAUUUUCUAAUCUCCAGUGCUCAGCCCUUACUUUAUGGCUGCUGGAAGAAAAGCAGGAACUAGCACUGCUCUUUAGGCCAUAAAUGGCAUAAGGAGCCAGCACCAGGCUUAGUAUUAAUAGGUUUUUUGUUGUUGUUGUUUGUUUUUGAGACAGAGUCUCACUCUUUUGCCCAGAGCUGGAGUGCAAUGGAGCCAUCUUGGCUCACUGCAACCUCUGCCUCCCGGGUUCAAGCAAUUCUCCUGCCUUAGCCUCCCAAGUAGCUGGGAUUACAAGGUAACUGCCACCAUGCAGGGC